rnacentral:snoRNA from 1 species
UACUGUGGUGGUUUCUGGUUUUGGCAGAUCUGUAAGUGUAUCAGAGCUGUAGCAGAACUACCACAGAGAUCAGAAAGGAGAAGGCUGUGCUGAGAACUUCAGGCUUUCAGUUUUCAGCUCUUUGCUCAGCUCCUACAGAA